rnacentral:lncRNA from 1 species
CAUUGCUAAAGUCAUGAAUGUGCUACAUUUUUAUGCCUUCUAGAUAUCUGUGUCCUAGAAAAAGUUCCAGGUGCCUUAUCAUAAAUACAGUUAUGCUGACUUACAAGAGAAAUUUGAGACCACCAUUUAUUCUUGAAUUUGGGACUUUGAGAUGAAAAGCAGUAUGCAGAAAAUGGAAAGUUGAAACAGUUUCAUAAGAUAGAGUUCUGGACUUGGAAUCAGGGAGAUCUGGAUUCUAAUUCUACCUCUGAAGUUACUAGCUGUGUCAAGUUAAGGAUUAUCCCACCACUGCAGAUCCACAACCUUGGUGGUAAAAGAUAUCCCUCCUACCAGGGAGCUGCUCCAAAGAGUUAUGAUGGACACUGCUCUUGUUUCUGGUGUCAGCUCAGUUUAAUGCUGAAAAACAUCAAGAUUGCGGGAUUGCUACAAAACAAAAUUCCUAUUUAUUCCGUGAAAUUAAGGAGAACGCUGGGUGGGGGUGUGUGGGGAUGUGGAUGUGUGUAAAUCAGCUCCCCCAUUUUCUUUUCUUCCAAAUGCAAGUGAAAUCUCCUCUAGACUCACAUGAGUAAUUUUCAGCUGUGUAUUAUGCUCCUGAAGUAACCUCUUCAUUUCCAUUGUUUUAGUGUGAAAUCAUUUCCUCAGGAGAUAAUUAGGGUUG